CUCCAUUGCAUGCUUCCUCACGUUCCUUUGGAUUACGUUGUCCAUCUAACCUCCUCAACUAGGAAGAAUGAAUAAUAAAGAAACGAAGACUUCAGAACACAAUGAGAGAGAGAGAGAAGAGAGAAGCAUAUGACGAUGAUGAUGAUGGUGAUGAAGCCUGCACUGACUCUUCUUCUUGUUCAUCUUCCUCCUCUUUUUCCUCGUAUUAAUCCUGUAUAUAUAGUUAGAGACAGUCAGAAACCUAUCCUGAUCGCUCUCUUUUCAGUGCGGAAGCUAACUUUCAGAAGUAGGUUCUUGCCCCCAAGGAACGACAAGCUGAUUUUGGUCUCAGACGAAAUAUGAUGAGGUUUCUCCGGACAGGACAGAACCACUUCCAGGCUCCUCUUUAAUCUCUCAUGGAACUCGUCCAGGUUUUCAGCCUGUAGCGAAGAAGAAGAAGAAAAAUCGACAAGAAAGUGCAGAACCCAACAGAGUGGAAGAGAACGUAUUACCUCAAGAAAAUAUCGGAAUGAGAGCAUUACCAUGUCUACGAGAUGAAUGAUUCCGCCAUUGAUGGCACAAAAUCUGCUCUUUCAGUCUGCAAAUCUGAAGGGAAAUUAGGUUUUCUUUCUCCCAUUAAAAGCAAGAAGUGAAAAAAAAAGUUAGUUCACUUUACGUGACAGGACAUCCUCGUUCAGGCAAACAGUUGUGAUACAGAAAUCUAAAUUCUGGUUCUUUUUCAUGGCGAGGAGAUUAAGAACAAAACCAUGGAAGCGGCACCCGAGGCUUUUUCUGCCAAUGCUCUGCCUCAAUAUCGUAUUUCAAGACCCGAUAGCACUCGAGCAUAAGGGGAAGUUUGUAUAUCGCAAUGUACGGGACAAAAGAUUCAAGGGUAUUUACCGGAGAGGACCUGUGAAUCAUUUUUGAUGUUUGAUAUUCGGAGAAUAUGCACUUUGUGCGAGUAGUUUCAACCCGCAACGAUUGAGUGCCAGACAAAGAUCGUUUCUUUUUAAGAAAGAAAUCGUUCAAACACCACGAGGAACGUCGUAAAACCCAGUUGCGGGAUUCGGACAAUCUCUUGGAGCAAGCGCGAAUGCAGUAAAGCCACACAUCUGGUCGUGGUCUUACCACAGAUGAUCGCCGAAAAUGAUCUCAGCAGCACAAAAACAGUGAAAUCUCUUAACUAGGAACAUGGCGUAAUUUCGGGGGACAAAACCUACGUGAUUGGUCGUCCUGUGACAAGGGCGGAAACGAAUUCGGACAUAGAAAACCAACGUGGAAUCCAAAACAUGAAACGGUAGAUAGAACUCGUUGGAUUGGACACAGAUUGUCUGUUUGAUAUGAGAAGACAAAUUGCUGCUUUGUGUGUGUUUGUGUUUGUUUCCCCUUCAUUUGUUCUCGUCAUUCGCUCUCCACUCAACUAAUCUCUUCCAUCAUCCCUUACGAACAAAAAAAGAUGCACACUAACAAGAUCAAGAAGAUUCUAAAAAAAAA